ACCCUGUCUAGCCUGCCAGAAAUGUGUGAGGGUGAAGACUGUGGCACCGGAGUUGAAGCCCAUCAAAGGUGUUUUACCAUGGCACAUAAUCGAGGUGGACCUCAUUGGACCCUUCACGAAAUCCAGGAAUGGCAACAGCUGGUGUCUGACGGUGACCCAUCACUUUACCAAGUGGGUGGAGGUAAUACCCAUUAAGGACGAGACUGUCGAGGCCACCCAGGGUUGUCCUGAGGUCGUCUUGAGUGACUGAGGUCAUGAACGCUGGAACAAGGUUUGGUGAACGGACCAACCAGACCCACCUUCAUACACGCACUGUCGCGACUUCCGCCGAAGUCGGUCCCUCUCCUUGUUCAGGCGGCGUUCGACGGUCGACGUAACCGGCUUUCUAGCCACCGCCGAUCCACUUUUCAUUUUGCAUUUGUUCUGUCUUUGUCUUAUCACACCUGGCUUCACUCACCAAUCACUUGUUUAUUAUUUAACCCAUGUUGUAUUUGUGAGUGAUUGUUAUUUGUUACGUGGAUGUUAUGCGCUGUCAUUUGGUACCGGCAUUAAAGUGCGCCUGAUUAUUAUACUCCACUCUCCUGCACUUGACUUCGCCUCCCAUAUACACGCAUUACAGAAUCACUCACCUCAAGAAUGGAGUCAGCAGGAGCAGACGCCCUCCCAGUUGCAGUGGAGGAACGUGUUCAGCAGCACGCGACCAUGUUGCAACGUCUGGGCACAGCCAUGGAUCACGUGCUGCAGACGAUGGAUUGUUGGGAGAGAGGAGGAGGUUUUUCAGCGCCUCCACCAGCCCCACUACAACAGGUCCCACUGUCCACCCCUCUUUCACCUGGUCCCAGCGGGAUUCGACUCGCGCUCCAGAGGGAGUAUGAUGGGACGGCUGCCGGAUGCCAGGGGUUUCUACUACAGCUGGAUCUCUACAUGGCGACCGUCCACCUGGCUCCUUUGGGACGUGAGAGCGUGUCCGCCCUCGUCUCCUGCCUCUCAGGUAAAGCCCUGGAGUGGGCCAAU